UGGGGAAUUUUGCACAAUGGGGGAAACCCUGAUGCAGCGACGCCGCGCGAUUUAGAAGGCCUUCGGGUUGUAAAAAUCUUUUUUAUGGGAUGAAAAUGACAGUACCAUAAGAAUAAGGUCCGGCUAAAUACGUGCCAGCAGCCGCGGCAAUACGUAUGGACCGAGCGUUGUCCGGAAUCAUUGGGCGUAAAGGGUACGUAGGCGGCCCAGUAAGUUAGAAGUGAAAUAAUAUAGCUCAACUAUAUAAAGCUUUUAAAACUGCUAGGCUUGAGAGGUGGAAGGGGAAGUGGAAUUCCUAGUGUGGCGGUGAAAUGCGCAGAUAUUAGGAAGAAUACCGGUGGCGAAGGCGACUUUCUGGUCAUCAUCUGACGCUGAGGUACGAAAACGUGGGUAGCAAACAGG
rnacentral:rRNA from 1 species